UGAUGAAAGAAGAGGCACCCGCUUCUCACCUGAUUGACGCACAUAUGCUGUUGGUAGGUUGACUACAGAUGAACUUUAGCAAAUGGAAAUUUUGUUAAAGCGUAGUGUGGGUGCAAAAUGUACCGACGCUUUUUUUGAUUU
rfam:Bacillus solimangrovi strain GH2-4 NODE_4_length_182198_cov_1.78524_ID_3988, whole genome shotgun sequence.